rnacentral:rRNA from 1 species
GACGAACGCUGGCGGCGUGCCUAAUACAUGCAAGUAGAACGCUGAAGAGAGGAGCUUGCUCUUCUUGGAUGAGUUGCGAACGGGUGAGUAACGCGUAGGUAACCUGCCUGGUAGCGGGGGAUAACUAUUGGAAACGAUAGCUAAUACCGCAUAAAAUUGAUUAUUGCAUGAUAAUUAAUUGAAAGAUGCAAUUGCAUCACUACCAGAUGGACCUGCGUUGUAUUAGCUAGUUGGUGAGGUAACGGCUCACCAAGGCGACGAUACAUAGCCGACCUGAGAGGGUGAUCGGCCACACUGGGACUGAGACACGGCCCAGACUCCUACGGGAGGCAGCAGUAGGGAAUCUUCGGCAAUGGGGGGAACCCUGACCGAGCAACGCCGCGUGAGUGAAGAAGGUUUUCGGAUCGUAAAGCUCUGUUGUAAGAGAAGAACGGGUGUGAGAGUGGAAAGUCACACUGG